AUGGAUUCAUUUUCAUCACCAUCUUCUACUACUCAGAUGAUUUCAUUUUCAUCACCAUCUUCUACUACUCAGAUGACACCAUCUCCUAAUAAGAAUCAACGAUAUUUCGGUGACAUUCACAUUCCUCGGAUGAUGACCUUAUCACCACCUUGUACUCCAUCGCCAAUAACAAGGCGCUUGAAAAUCAUGGAUGAAAUUAUUGAACUUGGUGAGAGGCGGUUACAAGAGUUGCGUCUCAUUGAAACGACCCAACAAGCCAUCGAGGUCGAAAGAAAGAGGAUAAUAAAUGUGUUGAUGUCAUUUAGGUAG